rnacentral:rRNA from 1 species
GUGCCAGCAGCCGCGGUAAUACAGAGGGUGCGAGCGUUGUCCGGAAUCACUGGGCGUAAAGGGCGCGUAGGCGGUGACUUAAGCGUGUGGUGAAAGCUCGGGGCUCAACCCCGAGUCGGCCGUGCGAACUGGGUCACUCGAGCAUGUCAGAGGCAGGUGGAAUUCCGGGUGUAGCGGUGGAAUGCGUAGAGAUCCGGAAGAACACCGGUGGCGAAGGCGGCCUGCUGGGACAUGGCUGACGCUGAGGCGCGACAGCGUGGGGAGCAAACAGGAUUAGAAACCCCUGUAGUCC